rnacentral:misc_RNA from 1 species
CAACCCUCAUUCAUGUGAUGUUACAAUCGCAUGAAUGGAUUUGGACCGUGUCGUAAUUGACUCGUCCUGAAAUGCAUUAGCUUGCGCUUUUAGAGUGCUGGGCACCGGUGUGAUAAUUAUCUGCGCCAACGCCUUUAGCCUCUUCUGUUGUGCUGCUUAUAAUCGUCCUGACGGACAAUUACUUUAAAG